AACAAACGCUGGCGGCAGGCUUAACACAUGCAAGUCGAACGCCCCGCAAGGGGAGUGGCAGACGGGUGAGUAACGCGUGGGAAUCUACCCAUCCCUACGGAACAACUCCGGGCAACUGGAGCUGAUACUGUAUAAGCCCUACGGGGGAAAGAUUUAUCGGGGAUGGAUGAGCCCGCGUUGGAUUAGCUAGUUGGUGGGGUAAAGGCCUACCAAGGCGACGAUCCAUAGCUGGUCUGAGAGGAUGAUCAGCCACAUUGGGACUGAGACACGGCCCAAACUCCUACGGGAGGCAGCAGUGGGGAAUAUUGGACAAUGGGCGCAAGCCUGAUCCAGCCAUGCCGCGUGAGUGAUGAAGGUCCUAGGAUUGUAAAGCUCUUUCACCGAUGAAGAUAAUGCCGGUAGUCGGAGAAGAAGCCCCGGCUAACUUCGUGCCAGCCGCCGCUGUAA
rnacentral:rRNA from 1 species